GGGUUGUGAGGUUAAGCGACUAAGCGUACACGGUGGAUGCCUAGGCAAUCAGAGGCGAUGAAGGACGUGCUAAUCUGCGAUAAGCGUCGGUAAGGUGAUAUGAACCGUUACAACCGACGAUUUCCGAAUGGGGAAACCCAGUGCAAUUCGUUGCACUAUCGUUUGAUGAAUACAUAGUCAAACGAAGCGAACCGGGGGAACUGAAACAUCUCAGUACCCCGAGGAAAAGAAAUCAACCGAGAUUCCCCUAGUAGCGGCGAGCGAACGGGGAGCAGCCCAGAGUCUUAAUCAGCAUUAGCAUCAGGAGAACGGUCUGGAAAGUCCGGCAGUAAAGGGUGAUAGCCCCGUAUCCGAAGGUGUUAGUGUUGUGAACUCGACGAGUAGGGCGGGACACGUGUUAUCCUGUCUGAAUAUGGGGGGACCAUCCUCCAAGGCUAAAUACUCCUGAUUGACCGAUAGUGAACCAGUACCGUGAGGGAAAGGCGAAAAGAACCCCGGCGAGGGGAGUGAAAUAGAACCUGAAACCGUGUACGUACAAGCAGUGGGAGCCCCAUCACUCAAGUGCCUCGGCAAUUGAGUGAGGGUGUAAAACCAUCACAAUAACAGCGCAGAAUUUGCCAACAAGAUUGGUCGAUUUUUUCAAGCCGUCGCGCAGUGUACAUCGAAGUACACGAGCAACGGAAGUUAAAAAAUCGGGCAAGAUUGGCCGCAAAGACAAGCGGGACAUUUGAGGAUGGGGUGACUGCGUACCUUUUGUAUAAUGGGUCAGCGACUUAUAUUCUGUAGCAAGGUUAACCGUAUAGGGGAGCCGUAGGGAAACCGAGUCUUAACUGGGCGAAUAAGUUGCAGGGUAUAGACCCGAAACCCGGUGAUCUAGCCAUGGGCAGGUUGAAGGUUGGGUAACACUAACUGGAGGACCGAACCGACUAAUGUUGAAAAAUUAGCGGAUGACUUGUGGCUGGGGGUGAAAGGCCAAUCAAACCGGGAGAUAGCUGGUUCUCCCCGAAAGCUAUUUAGGUAGCGCCUCGUGAACUCAUCUUCGGGGGUAGAGCACUGUUUCGACUAGGGGGUCAUCCCGACUUACCAACUCGAUGCAAACUACGAAUACCGAAGAAUGUUAUCACGGGAGACACACGGCGGGUGCUAACGUUCGUCGUGAAGAGGGAAACAACCCAGACCGCCAGCUAAGGUCCCAAAGUCAUAGUUAAGUGGGAAACGAAGUGGGAAGGCUCAGACAGCCAGGAUGUUGGCUUAGAAGCAGCCAUCAUUUAAAGAAAGCGUAAUAGCUCACUGGUCGAGUCGGCCUGCGCGGAAGAUGUAACGGGGCUAAACUAUGCACCGAAGCUGCGGCAGCGAUAUGUAAAUAUUGUUGGGUAGGGGAGCGUUCUGUAAGCCUGUGAAGGUGUGCUGUGAGGCAUGCUGGAGGUAUCAGAAGUGCGAAUGCUGACAUAAGUAACGAUAAUGCGGGUGAAAAACCCGCACGCCGGAAGACCAAGGGUUCCUGUCCAACGUUAAUCGGGGCAGGGUGAGUCGACCCCUAAGGCGAGGCAGAAAUGCGUAGUCGAUGGGAAACGGGUUAAUAUUCCCGUACUGGUGAUAAUUGCGAUGGGGGAACGGAGAAGGCUAGGCUAUCCGGGCGACGGUUGUCCCGGUUUAAGGAUGUAGGCAGGUGAAUUAGGCAAAUCCGGUUCACUAUAUGCUGAGGUCCGACGACGAGUCACUACGGUGAUGAAGUAGCUCAUGCCCCGCUUCCAGGAAAAGCCUCUAAGCUCUAGAUUAUCAUUAAUCGUACCCCAAACCGACACAGGUGGUCAGGUAGAGAAUACUCAGGCGCUUGAGAGAACUCGGGUGAAGGAACUAGGCAAAAUGGUGCCGUAACUUCGGGAGAAGGCACGCUGGCAUUAGGUGAAGUGGUUUACCCAUGGAGCUGAAGCCAGUCGCAGAUACCAGCUGGCUGCAACUGUUUAUUAAAAACACAGCACUGUGCAAACACGAAAGUGGACGUAUACGGUGUGACGCCUGCCCGGUGCUGGAAGGUUAAUUGAUGGGGUUAUCCGUAAGGAGAAGCUCUUGAUCGAAGCCCCAGUAAACGGCGGCCGUAACUAUAACGGUCCUAAGGUAGCGAAAUUCCUUGUCGGGUAAGUUCCGACCUGCACGAAUGGCGUAAUGAUGGCCAGGCUGUCUCCACCCGAGACUCAGUGAAAUUGAACUCGCUGUGAAGAUGCAGUGUACCCGCGGCAAGACGGAAAGACCCCGUGAACCUUUACUAUAGCUUGACACUGAACAUUGAGCCUUGAUGUGUAGGAUAGGUGGGAGGCUUUGAAGUGUGGACGCCAGUCUGCAUGGAGCCAACCUUGAAAUACCACCCUUUAAUGUUUGAUGUUCUAACGUUGCCCCGUUAUCCGGGGUGCGGACAGUGUCUGGUGGGUAGUUUGACUGGGGCGGUCUCCUCCCAAAGAGUAACGGAGGAGCACGAAGGUUGGCUAAGCAUGGUCGGACAUCAUGCGGUUAGUGCAAAGGCAUAAGCCAGCUUGACUGCGAGAGUGACGGCUCGAGCAGGUACGAAAGUAGGUCUUAGUGAUCCGGUGGUUCUGAAUGGAAGGGCCAUCGCUCAACGGAUAAAAGGUACUCCGGGGAUAACAGGCUGAUACCGCCCAAGAGUUCAUAUCGACGGCGGUGUUUGGCACCUCGAUGUCGGCUCAUCACAUCCUGGGGCUGAAGUAGGUCCCAAGGGUACGGCUGUUCGCCGUUUAAAGUGGUACGCGAGCUGGGUUUAGAACGUCGUGAGACAGUUCGGUCCCUAUCUGCCGUGGGCGUUGGAAGAUUGAAAGGGGCUGCUCCUAGUACGAGAGGACCGGAGUGGACGCACCACUGGUGUUCGGGUUGUCAUGCCAAUGGCAUUGCCCGGUAGCUAAGUGCGGAAGAGAUAACCGCUGAAAGCAUCUAAGCGGGAAACUUGCCUUGAGAUGAGUCUUCCCUGACUCUUUAAGGGUCCUAAAGGAACGUUUAAGACUAAGACGUUGAUAGGUUGGGUGUGUAAGCGUAGCGAUACGUUGAGCUAACCAAUACUAAUGAACCGUGAGGCUUAACCUGACAACACCGAAGGUGUUUUAG
rnacentral:rRNA from 1 species